GAUGAACGCUGGCGGCGUGCCUAAUACAUGCAAGUCGAGCGAACGGACGAGAAGCUUGCUUCUCUGAUGUUAGCGGCGGACGGGUGAGUAACACGUGGAUAACCUACCUAUAAGACUGGGAUAACUUCGGGAAACCGUAGCUAAUACCGGAUAAUAUUUUGAACCGCAUGGUUCAAAAGUGAAAGACGGUCCUGCUGUCACUUAUAGAUGGAUCCGCGCUGCAUUAGCUAGUUGGUAAGGUAACGGCUUACCAAGGCAACGAUGCAUAGCCGACCUGAGAGGGUGAUCGGCCACCCUGGAACUGAGACACGGUCCAGACUCCUACGGGAGGCAGCAGUAGGGAAUCUUCCGCAAUGGGCGAAAGCCUGACGGAGCAACGCCGCGUGAGUGAUGAAGGUCUUCGGAUCGUAAAACUCUGUUAUUAGGGAAGAACAUAUGUGUAAGUAACUGUGCACAUCUUGACGGUACCUAAUCAGAAAGCCACGGCUAACUACGUG
rnacentral:rRNA from 1 species